CACUCUAUGUGUUUUUGACGUUUUAUUGGGUUGUUUUGGUUUUUACACGUGUUUUUUGGUGCUUGGAUUGAAUAUAAGUGGAAGUGUUGGGAAGAUGUAGAAGCGAGAAUUGGUAAGUGUUAAGGAUUGGUUAGGUUGUGUGAUGAGAAAAUAUUACAUAUAGGUUGGGUUGAUUGAUUGAUUGAUUGAUUGAUUGAUUGAUUGAUUGAUUUUGUGCAUAAUUUUGAUAUGUUUACUAGUGUGUGUCGCCUUGAAUGAUAGUAAUGCAUCUAUAUUACUGAGCCCCUCCAGCCAUAACACUGCGGGGGUUGGCGGUGGUGGUGGUGGCGGCGGUGCGGGGCGGGCGAUCAGCUGGCCACGGUAAUGCGAAUGAGGUUUGCCCCGCCACAGAAUAUUAUGUUAAAGUCAUUUUUUUCCGAUAUUUUAGGGGGAUGUGAAGAAAAUAUGACCAAAAUAUUGCCUGUUUUACCUGAUAGGGGGUAAAAUAUUGCCUGUUUUACCUGAUAGGGGGUAAAAUAUUGCCUGUUUUACCUGAUAGGACGUAAAAUAUUGCCUGUUUUACCUGAUAGGGGGUCACGCUCCCCGUCCCCCACCCUCGCCCUAACCUGACCUAACCCAGUGACCCCAGUUAACCUAAUGUGAGCUGCACCCUCCUUCAACCUCAUUAACCUGACCUAACAGGGGGUUAUGCCUCUUUGACCGCCCCCUGACCUAAGCUGACCCUCUGUCCACCUACUGAGGAAGACGGUGCAGGACACACACACACGCACACACACACAUGCUGAGUGAUGAAGUUCCCAGAGGACAUUUAAGAACACAAAUCCCUCCCUCCUUUGACGAUAAGGAGGAAUAGGAGGAGGAGGAGAGAGGGAAGAAAGGAGAGGAGGAGGAGAAGGAGAUAGAAGUGUUGAAAGAGAAAAAGGAGGAGGAGGAGGAGGAGAAGAAAUCAGUUACAAGAGAAGAAGGAGGAGGAGAAAGAACAAGAAGAAGAGGAACAGGAGGAAGAAAUGGAGGAACAGAAGAGAGAGAAGGAAGAAAAGUGAGUGAAGGAAGGAAGAAGAGGAGGAGGAAAAGAGGAAGAAUGAGAGAAUAAUGGAGAAGUGGAAGAAGAAGACACAAGGAAUAAUAAGAUAGGUUAAGGACUUGGCCAUCUUACUGAAGGGAAAUGCUUUGAAGGACUCGGAAAGGGACACUAUCUGGAAAUGCAUACUGAAGGAGGUGUCUGCAGGCCCCGUGGAAGGUGCUGGGGGCUUAGAAGAGGGGUGUGAAUAUGGGCUAAGUUCCCCCAGUAUUGCCAUCACCACAGGGGGUACCAAGGGGUGUAGCAGUCCCCCACAGACCCCCACUGAGGCCACAGAGCAGGAGGGAGCGCCAGGGGAGAAGGGAGGGGCUGGGGAAGAUGAGGAGGUGUUGGAGUCCUGUCAAUUCACACCAGUCUUUGAAAACAUUGGGGCCUCUUGGAAAGAUAAGAUCACAUGACCUCUCCCACACCCUUGACCUGACCAUGCAGCUGGCCAGGACCAUACUGAGGCGAUCUGAGAGUCUCCUAACUUCUCUGUCCCAACCCAGCAGCAGCAAUAGCCCAAGAAGUAGCCCAAAUGUAGCCUGCCAUAAGAGAUAGCACAGUAGCUAAAAAAAUAGCCCAAAGAUUAGGUUGCCAAAAAAAUAGCCCAAAGAAUGUGUUUUUUUUUGUUUUAUUUAUUUAGUUCAUUUAAUUUAAUUGUAAAGGAAGUUAGGAAUUUUUUUUUUUAUACUCAGUGAGUUCUCUAAGUCAAGAAAGGUGUGUGUGUAUGUGUGUGUGUGUCAGUCAGUCAGUCAGUUAGUCAGUCAGUCAGUCAGACAGACAGACAGACAGACAGACAGACAGACUUAUGCCAUUGAGAAAAUGACAUUAAGCUCUAGUCUAUUAAAAGUACAGAUUUAAUAUUUAAGUGAGACAGAGAGAGAGAGAGAGAGAGAGAGAGAGAGAGAGAGAGAGAGAGA